rnacentral:lncRNA from 1 species
UUUUUUUUUUUUUUUUUUUUUUUUUUUUUUUNUUGUCCUUUUAGGGCCACACCCGUGGCAUAUGGAGGUUCUGAGGCUAGGGGUGGGAUAGGAGCUGUAGCCGCCCAGCCUACGCCAGAGCCACAGCAAUGUCAGAUCUGAGGCACGCCUGUGACCUACCCCAUAGCUUAUGGCAAUGCUGGAUACUUAACCCACCGAGUGAGGCCAGGGAUUAAAUCUGCAACCUCAUAGUUCCUAGUCGGAUUCCUAUUCAUUCUGAUUUCAAACAUCCCAACAACCAAUAUCAUAAAAACUAAUUCAACCAAUAAAAUAAAAUAAGACAUAAUUUAAAGUCUAAGUGAGUUGUAGAAGUGAGGAUGAAAGCACCUCUUAAUAUCUUUUCCUUUUCAACUUUAAUGUAUUUCUUUUUUUUUGUUUUUGUCUUUUUGCCAUUUCUUGGGCCACUCCUGAGGCAUAUGGAGCAGCCCUAGAAAAGGCAAAAGACAAAAAAAAAAAGAAAAGAAAAGAAAAUACCAAUUUAAAUGACAUCAAAUAUCUCAUCUGAAAUCACAGUGAUCUGAAGAAAGUAGUACAGUGUAUUUCAAGUGCAAAAAUGAAAGAAAAGUCAACUGUGAAUUCAAUAUUGAGUGAAACUAUCCUUCCAGAACAAAGGAGAAAUAAAUACAUUGUUAGGGAAGUAAACAAAGAAUUUGUUGUUAGUGGACCAACCCCUAUAUCAUGGCUAAAAGAAGCUCUCUACAUAAAAAGAAAAUAUUAAUGGAAAAAAGGAAAAAAAACAAUUACAUGGGUUAACUCUGAGUUUUAUAUGUGGGAGAAUAUCCUAUCCUUUUGAUUCAGCAAAAAAAAGCCUAUAUUUUUUUCUGAAUCAAAAUAAUACAAUUUGAUGCAGUGUCAAAUGCAUGCAAAGGAAAUACUUAAGACCAUUACAUUUUAAAAGUGAGGAGAAUAAAGGAUUAAAAUCAGUCAAGAUGAAAAAGAAAAUAUAAGUAGUCCUAAAACCAGUAAAGAAAUUGAAUUAGCAACUUAAGUUGACUCAAAAAAAAGAAAUCUUCAAGCCAACAUGGCUUCACUAGAGAACUUUUAAAACUUUAAAACAUUUAAAAAAGAAUAACACACAUUUUACACACUUUUUUUCCAGAAAUUAGAAGGGGAGGGAACACUUUCAUUCCAUAAACCCAGUAUGGUUCUGAUACCAAAAUCAGACAGAGAGUACAAAGCAAGAAAACUAUAGAUCAAUAUGUCUUGUGAACUUAGAUGCAACAAUCUUCAACAAAAUAUUAUAAAAUUGAGCCCAGCAAUUAUAAAAUAAAUUAUGUACAAUAAUCAAUUGUAAUGUAUUCAGGAUAUGCAAUGCUGGUUAAAUAUUAAAAAAUCAAGCAGUGUUCCAACAAUAUUAACAGGAUAUAGAAAGAAAUCAUGACGACAAUAUCAAUUGAUGCAGAAAACAUAUUCGAGCAAAUCCAGACCCAUUAAUUAUAAAAGACGUAGGAAACUAGAAUUAUACUUUCUCUACUAAAUAAAGCAUUUUAUGAGAAAACUACAGCUAACAUUAUAUUUAAUGGUGUAAGACUAAAUGUUCUCACACUAAUAUUAGGAACAGGACAAGAAUGUCUUUACCACUCUAAUUCAACAUAGUACUGGCUGUUCUAGCAAGGGAAAAAGGAUGAAAAAUACAUUGAAGGCAUUCAUACUGGAAAUAACCCAAAUUUUAUAACUACACAUGUACAGAAAGAAAAAAGACAGUGGAAAAAAUUUUCAGGAGAUUUAUUUAUUUACCGAGUCAGGCAAAUAUUUAUUAAGACUUAAGUACAAAAAUAAUGAGAAAAAUGGAUAAAUUUGACCUCAUUGAAAUAAAAAACGACUGCUCUCAAUAGUCCCUGUUAAUAAGCUGAAAGACAAAUUAUACACUAUGAGAAAAUAUUUGCAAGCCACACAUCCUACAAAGGGUCUGUGUCCAAAAUAUUUAAAGAAUUCUCAAGUUUCAAGAGUAAACAAACAAAAGAAGUCCAAUUAGAAAAAUGGGCAAAAUAAAAUUAACAGACAUCACACUGAGGAUAUACAUACAGCACCCAAGCACUUGAAAUGAUGUCCAAUACCAUUAGGCAUUAAGGAAAUGUAAAUUAAAACCAUGACAUGAUAUCACAAAACACCUAAUCAGAAUGGUUGAAACAAUAUGCUGACUUGGAGUUCCACUGUGGUACAGAAGGUUAAGGAUCUGGUGUUGUCCCUGCUAUGACUCAGAUCACAGCAGUGGCAUGUGUUCAAUCCCUGGUUAGGGAACUUCUGCUUGUUGUAGGUGCGGCCAGAAAAAAAAAGUGCUGACAAAGAUGUGGAGAAACUUGAUAACCCAUUCACUGCUGGUGUGCAUGCAAAGUGGUACUCAUGAAAACAGACUGAAAGUUUAUUUUUAACUAUAAAUACACUGAGCAUACAAACAGCCGUUUUACUCAUGAGCAUUUAUUCCCAAGUAAUGAAAACUUUUGUUUAUGCAAAAAUCUAAAAGAAAAUAUUAAUAGCAACUUGAUUCAUGAUAAUCAAAAAGUCAAAACAACCCCAAUAUCCUUUGAUGGAUGAAUGGAUAAACAAACUGAGUUACAGAAAUCAUGGAAUACUACUCAGCAAUGAAAUGGAAUGAGAUAUUGAUAAAGGCAACAACUUGUAAAGACAUAAAGGGAAUUAUAUGAUAUCCUUAAAAUAAAGUAUUAUAGACAAUAUAUUAGUGGUUGUCAUGUAAACACAUGAGCCUGGAUAAUGGAAGAGUUCUGCAUCUUGAUUGCUGUUUAGUUUCAUAGAGCAACAUAUGUGACAAAAUUACAUAGAACUUUGCAUAUACACAUACACAAAUGAAUGCAUAUAUCACUGUUGACUCUGAAUAUAUUUUGUGGAUGGUACAAAUACAAAUUUCAUGAUAUACUAUAUUUAUGCAAGAUGUUAAAUUUUAGGGAGAAGUGUGGACAAAGUAGGGGACCUCUCUUGACUUUUUUUUAGCUUCCUGGGAAUCUAUAAUUAUUUCAAAAGAAAUAUGUAAACAAAAUGUAUUACUUGUUCCCAAAGUCUGCUCAGGAACUCAAGUAAGUUUAAGAAAGCUAAUAGACUAUGGAACAUUUAAUCUGUAUUAAAGUGAUCAAGACUGCUCUUCUCCAUUGCACUAAUUUCUCAGCAAUGCACCCAUUUAAGCUUUCAGUCUUUCCAUAUGAUUGUAAUGGCUGACCUGUUUGUACCUAAAAGUAAGUUAUAUAUAACAAAUAAAAGUUAAGGAGUUCCCGUCGUGGCACAGUGGUUAACGAAUCUGACUAGGAACCAUGAUCCCUGGCCUUGCUCAGUGGGUUAAGGAGCUGGCGUUGCCGUGACCUGUGGUGUAGGGUGCAGACACGGCUCAGAUCCUGCGUUGCUGUGGCUCUGGUGUAGGCUGGCAGCUACAGCUCGGAUUAGACCCCUAGCUUGGGAACCUCCAUAUGCCGCAGGAGCUGCCCAAGAAAUGGCAAAAAGAUAAAAACAAACAAACAAACAAACAAAACAAAUAAGAGUUAAUUUAGAUACAAAUGUGGAAUCAAGGACUACAUUAGCCAUAAUCAUCAAAUUAUAUUUUCUCAAGAUGUUUCUUCUCUAGGCAUAAAAGAAACACUAAGUCUAUUCAUAAUAUUGUCACAAAAUCUCUGCCUCAAAAUGAGUCUUCUUUAGUUUGUACUUAGGUCUGAGUCUUGUAUUUAGAAAAACAAGUUUUAAGUCAUGUUCAUUAUUUUUCCUUUCAAGGUUCUAUAAAAGAAACCCAUCUAAGUAUUUGACAGAUUAGAGUUUACAACCACUUCCAUGCCUACUGACAUAAUCUUUGACACAGAGGCAUAUAUGUAUGAUGUCGCGCUCCUAUUUUAAAGUGCUUAACAAUAUAUGUUAGACCUACACUCUCACAGCUCAGUCUUGUCUAUGUGUAAGUCCUGAGGUUAAGUAUAUUCUCCCCAAAUUCCAGAAAGAAUUUAAGUGAGGCAAAGUAUCUUUCUUUUUAGAAUUUAGGUUGGAAAGAAAUUAUUUAAAAUAAGUACACUAUUCAUUUUGAAAUUAAAUUGCUUUAAUUUUGCUGGAAAAUAGGAAAAAGUUAUAAUUUUUUGGCUAAAUCAGAAUACAUCAAUUUUGCUUAGUGGGUAAAAUAUGGUUACAUACUAAUCAGCUUGGGUUGACCAACUGCCUCCAGUUAACAAAGAAAAAAAGCCUCGGUUUACACUAUUUUUAAAAAAGUAACUAUCAAGAUAAUUCUGUUUCAUGAUGUGCAACAUAAUUACACUUGUGACCAAAAUUGACCUCCUUACCAAUGAUCUCUGUUAAUUAUUAUCUGGAAUUUAAGUUAUCAGAUAAACUGUACAAAGUAAUAUCAAGAAACAUUUCAGUGCUUUUCAUCAUAAAAUUAAGAAGCCUACCACAAACAGCUGGUGAAAAUAACGAAUAGUUGGUAUGUAUUAUUUUACACUGCAUGUAAAUAUUAAGUAGAAAGUAAAUUUUACUCUUAGGCUGAAAAUAUUUGUCAAAAGUUUUCUAGUCAACAAACAAAUAUUUUUAUACUAACACUUCUCUACUAAAAUCAUAUUACCAUGCACUAAAUAAAACAAGCAGGAUACAUUUCCCUCCCUUGGAACAGGAUAUUUAUUGCUUUGGUUCAGUGACAGUGAUUGGCUCUUUUAAGAACGAAUUGGUUUAACUCAUGCUUCUGUGCAGGCAGUGUACUUGAUUAGAUCUAGGGUGGAGAGGUUUCAAAGUCAGUGUCUCCUCUCGAAUGGCUGU